CCUACGGGUCGCACCAGGCGAGAAAACUUUGCAAUGUGCGAAAGCACGACAAGGUUAAUCCGAGUGGUUUCUGCUAAAGAAACCUUUUGUUAGUCCUAGAAACACUGAUGAAUAAGGGGUGGGCAAGUUCUGGUGUCAGCCGCCGCGGUAAAACCAGCACCUCAAGUGGUCAGGAUGAUUAUUGGGCCUAAAGCAUCCGUAGCCGGCUAUGUAAGUGUUCGGUUAAAUCUGUGCGCUUAACGUACAGGCUGCCGGGAAUACUGCAUAGCUAGGAAGUGGGAGAGGUAGACGGUACUCGGUAGGAAGGGGUAAAAUCCUUUGAUCUAUUGAUGACCACCUGUGGCGAAGGCGGUCUACCAGAACACGUUCGACGGUGAGGGAUGAAAGCUGGGGGAGCAAACCGGAUUAGAUACCCCCGUAGUC
rnacentral:rRNA from 1 species